UAGCGAAGGGGGCUAGCGUUGCUCGGAUUCAUUGGGCGUAAAGGGUGCGUAGGCGGCGCGGUAAGUCGGGUGUGAAAUCUCGGAGCUUAACUCCGAAACUGCAUUCGAUACUGCGGUGCUUGAGGACUGGAGAGGAGACUGGAAUUCAUGGUGUAGCAGUGAAAUGCGUAGAGAUCAUGAGGAAGACCAGUGGCGAAGGCGGGUCUCUGGACAGUUCCUGACACUGAGGCACGAAGGCCAGGGGAGCAAACGGG
rnacentral:rRNA from 1 species